UUACGGUCAUAACACAUUGAAACAUUGGUUCUCGUACCGAUGUUAAGCAACGUCGAACCUGAUCAGUACCUAGAUGGGUGACCGCUUGGGAGUACCAGGUGCUGUAA